AGGAUUUUAGAAACCAAAUGCAAUUAGGUUACAGGAUAUUUUUGAUCUGUGUCGUGUGUUCUUUUUUUUUUAAUUGUUUUUACAUUUUUUUUUCUUUCUGAAACAUUAUGAGAUUACCUUUUUUUUUUAUCUUUUUCCAUUAAAAUUUUUAAAAAUGGUUUUUAUUUAUGUUUAAUUUGAUUAAGGAAAGGUUAGUUUUGGGAUUAUGAAAAAUAUUAUACUAUAAGGACAACUUAGUGAUGGUUUUAUACCAUAGAAACAACUAUGUUGUUAUUUUGUUCUGUUUUGACAAUUUUUCCAACAUUUUUUUGUAAACCUAAAACCAAUUAUUUUCUAUCUAAAUAUAUUUGUCCAAUUGUCCUCUCACAUGUACUUGAUCUAUCGACUGGAAUAUUUGAUUAUUAUUUCUUUCCAG
rnacentral:lncRNA from 1 species